UACGGGGGGGGCAAGCGUUGUUCGGAAUUACUGGGCGUAAAGGGCUCGUAGGCGGCCAACUAAGUCAUACGUGAAUCCCUCGGCUUAACCGGGGAACUGCGUCUGAUACUGGAUGGCUUGAGUUCGGGAGAGGGAUGCGGAAUUCCAGGUGUAGCGGUGAAAUGCGUAGAUAUCUGGAAGAACACCGGUGGCGAAGGCGGCGACCUGGUCCGAUACUGACGCUGAGGCGCGAAAGCGUGGGGAGCAAACAGG
rnacentral:rRNA from 1 species